rnacentral:rRNA from 1 species
AUUGAACGCUGGCGGCAUGCUUUACACAUGCAAGUCGAACGGUAACAGGCCUUCGGGUGCUGACGAGUGGCGAACGGGGGAGUAAUGCAUCGGAACGUACCCAGAGGUGGGGGAUAACGCAGCGAAAGCUGUGCUAAUACCGCAUGUGAUCUGAGGAUGAAAGCGGGGGACCGAGCAGCAAUGUUUGGCCUCGCGCCUUUGGAGCGGCCGAUGUCGGAGUAGCUAGUUGGUGGGGUAAAGGCCUACCAAGGCGACGAUCCGUAGCUGGUCUGAGAGGACGACCAGCCACACUGGGACUGAGACACGGCCCAGACUCCUACGGGAGGCAGCAAUGGGGAAUUUUGGACAAUGGGCGCAAGCCUGAUCCAGCAAUGCCGCGUGCGGGAAGAAGGCCUUCGGGUUGUAAACCGCUUUUGGCAGGAACGAAACGGUGUCCGCUAAUACCGGGCGCUAAUGACGGUACCUGCAGAAUAAGCACCGGCUAACUACGUG